rnacentral:lncRNA from 1 species
GCUUAGGUUCUCUCCGCCCACCUUCCGGGUUGUGGGUUACAUUGGGCUCUACUCGGGGGAGCAGGGGUCGUGAGAGGGGGCGUGGUCCCGGAGCUGGAGCGGUGCGGACCUGCGCGGGGUGGGCUGCGUGAGGGCGCGCUCUCCUCCCGAAGGCAGCGUCGCGAAUCAGCGCUCAUUCAUUCGUUUCGCGAACGCACGCCGCUGCCAGGGAGGAGGUCCCUGUCUAGCACUGCCCGUCUGUUUACUUUCGCGUCUAAACCUGGCAUGACCAAGGACCGAACAGGUGCCACGGACAGUUCGCCGGCGCUGCAGGGCUAGCUCUCCCAGCCCAUGGCUGGGCACGGUUUAGAGAGGAGGCAGGACUCCGGCAGGAUCGGAAAGGAAGGGAAGCGGUGAGGCCAGGAAGCCUAAGAGUUGCCCUGCAGAAAAGAGAGAAUCCUGAGGCUCAGAGGAACUGCCACUUGCCGUCGUGAGGAAGAAGUCAGGUUGUAGCUCGUGUCAGCCCCUCCUUUGUGAGGUUUCUGUCAGCGGCACUUUCAGCACUCUGCCAUCCACAGAAUGUCCCGACAGUUAAUGAAACAGGUAUCAUGGAAUUUGGGGGAUUUUAAAAAUCCUUGGCUGGAGGGUGAGCCAGUCCCAGCACCCGGAAGGAAGCUCUCCGCCUCCAUCCCAGGCUUCUAGGGCAGAGAAGCUGAGCUGGUCCCAGCACCCAGAAGGAAGCUCCCCGCUGCAAUCCCAAGCUCCUAGGGCAGAGAAGGUGAGCCACAUGGGUGCCAGAGGCACCCCCCUCCCUGGGAAAAUGAG